CAGCGGCCCGGCCUCAGCCACCGAGCUGGCCCUUGGUCCCGCACGGAAUCCGCCUCCCCACCCCCUCCCGUUCCCCGGCUUGCGGACCGCCGAGGCCCUCCGAGACCCUAGGGCGGCCCCUACGUGGGAAAUGGCCCGAGACAGAAGCAUGUGGACAGCAAAUGGCGACAAGCGCGAGGUUCUGCAGAUGGCAGCGAGGACCUGCGCGGAGGGCGCCGCGGGUCACCUGUGGCUGGGGUGGCGGCGGACGGGCCGCUGCUGACCCCCGGUGGCCACUUUCGCUACUGCAGGGCGGCUUUGCGUUUCCCUCCAGUCACUGCCUGGAGCAGCUCUAGGGACAAUUUACCCCCGCGCACGAGGACAAAUUUGCAAAAUUCAGGAAGUAUAGAUGGAACCAAAAACUGCAAUCUCAGUCUUGGCACACCAGGAAGAACAACUGCUUAGAACAAUUAUGUCACCUUUGCUGAAGUAAUACAAUCAGCAUCAACAACAGUAUCUAACACAGCUUGGAAAAUGACAAACUGUGAGAGGCCCUCUCUCUGCUGCUCAC
rnacentral:lncRNA from 1 species